GGUCCCUUCGCCUACGGGGCCGUUGGCCGGAGCUGGAGCGGCGGGAAGGGCCGGCCAGGCCUGAGCCUGAGCCUGAGCCUGAGCCUGAGCCUGAGCCUGAGCCUGAGCCUGUCAUGAGGGGGUUCCGGGCCUGUCGUGAGGGGAUUCCGAGCCUGGCAGGUGGGAGCAGGCCCAGGGAGCAGCAUGCCAGCAGCCCCUCUCCCAAACAUGGCCUGUGGUGUCUCCCCGGUGUGUCGGACACAUUGGAACCAACCAACAGAAGGACAGAAAGUGAUGGUGCGGCCUGGCCUGGGCUUGGUCUGGGAAGGACAUUUUGAUUGCAAAGCCUAAGCCAAUGACCCUCGGCUCCUCUUCUCCUUCAGGGAGCAGAAGCAAGAGGCCCAUGGUCCCACCUCACUGCUGUGCAGGCUCUCCACUACGAUGGUCUCUAUCCACAAGGCAGAGCUUCCAACUGAAAAGCUGUUUGUUUUUUCUACUUGUGUUGUCGGCUCCUCAGGGCUAAGGCCUUUAUGAAAGAGCCCAUGAAGUGGUGCUACUGAAUCAAGUGUUUUGUUGUAAUAAAAUGAAAUUCCAGCAGAAAUCUGAAGUGGAAAAGCAGUUUCCUGGUGUAUCCACCUCUGCUCUGGACCAGGCUUUAGGGGAGGCUAAGAAGUGGAAAAACUCCAGACGCCUUUCAG